CCUACGGGUGGCUGCAGUGGGGAAUAUUGCGCAAUGGGCGAAAGCCUGACGCAGCGACGCCGCGUGAGGGAUGAAGGUCGUCGGAUCGUAAACCUAUGUCAGCAGGGAAGAACGGUCACUGUGCUAAGCAGCAGUGAAUUGACGGUACAGGCAAAGGAAGGACCGGCGAACUCCGUGCCAGCAGCCGCGGUAAUACGGAGGGUGCGAGCGUUAAUCGGAAUUACUGGGCGUCAAGCGCUCGUAGGCGGUAUGUCAAGUCAAGGGGGAAAUCCCCGCGCUCCACGUUGGAACUGCCUUUGAAACUGGCAAACUGGAGUGUGUGAGCGGCUAGUGGACUU
rnacentral:rRNA from 1 species